rnacentral:rRNA from 1 species
CAAUCAAACUCCGUGAUAGCUGGUUCUCCCCGAAAUGCAUUUAGGUGCAGCGUCGUGUGUUUCAUCUUGGAGGUAGAGCUACUGGAUGGUCAAGGGGGCUUAUCCGCUUACCAACACCAGCCAAACUCCGAAUGCCAGGAUGUGAGAGCACGGCAGUGAGACUGUGGGGGAUAAGCUUCAUAGUCGAGAGGGAAACAGCCCAGAUCGCCGGCUAAGGCCCCUAAGCGUGUACUAAGUGGAAAAGGAUGUGGGAUCGCUUAGACAACCAGGAGGUUGGCUCAGAAGCAGCCACCCUUGAAAGAGUGCGUAAUAGCUCACUGGUCAAGUGGUCCUGCGCCGACAAUGUAGUGGGGCUCAAGUACACCGCCGAAGCCGCGGCAUUCCUUUUUGGGAUGGGUAGGGGAGCGUCGUGUAUCCGUUGAAGCUGCAGAGUGAUCUAGUGGUGGAGGGUAUGCGAGUGAGAAUGCAGGCAUGAGUAGCGAAUGACAUGUGGGAAACAUGUCCUCCGGAUGACCAAGGGUUCCUGGGCUAGGCUAAUCCUCCCAGGGUGAGUCGGGUCCUAAGGCAAGGCCGACAGGCGUAGUCGAUGGAUAACGGGUUGAUAUUCCCGUACCCGUAUAAGCGCGCCCAUGGUGAAUCAGUGAUACUAACUGUCCAGAAGCUGCUGUUUUCUCUUUUUAAGGAGAUGGUUGUGGAUGCACAGGACCUGAUCUGGUAGUAGCCAAGCGAUGGGGUGACGCAGGAAGGUAGCUGUGCCAGGUAGUGGAUUGCCUGGUGUAAGCGUGUAGGGUGACAGGUUGGUAAAUCCGCUUGUUGUGUACCUGAGACGUGAUGCGUAGCCAUUGUGGUGAAGUUAGUGAUCCUAUGCUGCCGAGAAAAGCCUCUAGUGAGUUCUUAUGCGGCCCGUACCCUAAACCGACACAGGUGGUCAGGUAGAGAAUACUAAGGAGUUCGAGAGAACUGUGGUUAAGGAAUUCGGCAAAAUGCCCCCGUAACUUUGGAAGAAGGGGGACCGAUGUUGGUGAGCACUUUUUCGGUGUGAGCUGGUGUUGGUCGCAGAGACCAGAGAGAAGCGACUGUUUACCAAAAACACAGGUCCGUGCGAAGACGUAAGUCGAUGUAUACGGACUGACGCCUGCCCGGUGCUGGAAGGUUAAGAGGACUGGUUAGUGGCCCUUGUGGCUGCGAAGCUGAGAAUUUAAGCCCCAGUAAACGGCGGUGGUAACUAUAACCAUCCUAAGGUAGCGAAAUUCCUUGUCGGGUAAGUUCCGACCUGCACGAAUGGCGUAACGACUUCUCUACUGUCUCAACCACAGACUCGGCGAAAUUGCAUUACGAGUAAAGAUGCUCGUUACGCGCGGCAGGACGAAAAGACCCCGGGACCUUUACUAUAGCUUGGCAUUGGUGUUCGGUUUUGUUUGUGUAGGAUAGGUGGGAGACUGUGAAGCUCAUGCGCUAGUGUGGGUGGAGUCGUUGUUGAAAUACCACUCUGAUGAAAUUGGACUUCUAACCUCGGACCAUGAUCUGGUUUAGGGACAGUGCCUGGUGGGUAGUUUAACUGGGGCGGUUGCCUCCCAAAGAGUAACGGAGGCGCCCAAAGGUUCCCUCAGCCUGGUUGGCAAUCAGGUGUUGAGUGUAAGUGCACAAGGGAGCUUGACUGUGAGACUGACAAGUCGAACAGGGACGAAAGUCGGGACUAGUGAUCCGGCACCGGCUUGUGGAAGCGGUGUCGCUCAACGGAUAAAAGGUACCCCGGAGAUCGGAAGAGCACACGUCUGAACUCCAGUCACACCAACUAUCUC